rnacentral:rRNA from 1 species
AUAAUAAAAUUAAAAUAAUUUAAUCAAUUUAAUAAAUUUAUUUUAUUUUUAUUUUAUUUUUAAUAAACUGAAAAGGAAUUUAUUAUUAUAAUUUAAUAGAAAAAUUAAUGUACCUUUUGCAUUAGGGGUUUUUAAAAAAAAUAAAAUUUUAUUUUUCUCGAAAUAUUUUGAGCUAAAAUUUAAUUUUUCUAAUGUUUCAAUAUUAAAAUAAAAUAAAUUUUAGAGGUGAAAUUCUUAUCAAAAAAUAUAAUAUCUAGUUAAAAAAAAUUAAUUAAAUAUUAUUUUGUAAAUAUUAAUUUAUUUUUUAAAACUACAAAAAAAAGUUUUUGGGAUAAGCUAAAAAUUAUUAAAUUUAUAAUAUUUUAAAAAAUAAUAAAAGAAUUAAAAUUUUUCUAUUUAUUUUUAUAAAUAAAUUAAGUUAAAUUGAAAUAAAAGAAUUUAUUUUUUUAAAUUAAAUUUAAUUAAAAAUUUAAAAAAAAAUGAAAAUAUUAGUAAAAAAUUUUUUUUUUAAUUAUUAAUAAUUAAUUAAAAAUUAAUUUAAUUUAAUUUAAUUUUUAAGAACUAGGCAAUUAUUUUUUUUGACUGUUUAAUAAAAACAACGCAUUUAGAUAAACAAUAAAUGCAAAUCCUGCUCAAUGAAAUUUUUUUUAAAUUGCUGUAGUAUUUUGACUAUACAAAGGUAUUGAAAUAAGAUUUUAAUUGAAUGCUAAGAGAAUGGAAUAUCAAAAAACAACUUUCUUAAAAUUAAAAAUUGAAAUUUUUUUAAUUUGUGUAAAAACAAUUAUAAAAAUUAAAGACAAGAAGACCCUAAGAAUUUUUAAAAUUUAAAUAAUACAUUUUUUGUUUUAAUUAAAUUUUAACUGGGGCGGUUAAAAAAUAUUAAAAACUUUUUAAUUUAAAAAUGACCCAUUAUUAAUGAAAAUAUGAUUAAAUACUCUAGGGAUAACAGCGUUAUAUUUUUUGAUAGAUCAUAUUGACAAAAAAGUUUGCGACCUCGAUGUUGGAUUAGGAUACUUUUUUAAUGAAGAUAUUAAAAUAAGAAGUUUGUUCAACUUUUAAAUUCCUACAUGAUCUGAGUUUAGACCGAUGAGAAUCAGGUUGGAUUCUAUCUUAAUAAAAAACAAAUUUUAUUUAGUACGAAAGGAAUUUUAAAAUCUAAUUUUUAGUUUUAUUUAUUUAUUUUAUUUGCAUCAAUUUUUGUAAUUA